AGAAUCAACGCUGGCGGCGUGCCUAACACAUGCAAGUCGCACGAGAAAGGGACUUCGGUCCUGAGUACAGUGGCGCACGGGUGAGUAACACGUGAAUAAUCUACCUCCGAGUGGGGAAUAACUGAGAGAAAUCUUAGCUAAUACCGCAUAACACUUACGAGUCAAAGCAGCAAUGCGCUUGGAGAGGAGUUCGCGGCAGAUUAGUUAGUUGGCGGGGUAAUGGCCCACCAAGACGAUGAUCUGUAUCCGGCCUGAGAGGGCGCACGGACACACUGGAACUGAAACACGGUCCAGACUCCUACGGGAGGCAGCAGUGGGGAAUUUUGCGCAAUGGGGGAAACCCUGACGCAGCAACGCCGCGUGGAGGAUGAAAUCCCUUGGGAUGUAAACUCCUUUCGAUCGGGAAGAUAAUGACGGUACCGAGAGAAGAAGCCCCGGCUAACUUCGUGCCAGCAGCCGC
rnacentral:rRNA from 1 species